CGCUGCGGCGUGCUUACCAUGCNAGUCGAACGAUGAGGCCCAGCUUGCUGGGUGGAUUAGUGGCGAACGGGUGAGUAACACGUGAGCAACGUGCCCAUAACUCUGGGAUAACCUCCGGAAACGGUGGCUAAUACUGGAUAUCUAACACGAUCGCAUGGUCUGUGUUUGGAAAGAUUUUGUGGUUAUGGAUCGGCUCACGGCCUAUCAGCUUGUUGGUGAGGUAAUGGCUCACCAAGGCGACGACGGGUAGCCGGCCUGAGAGGGUGACCGGCCACACUGGGACUGAGACACGGCCCAGACUCCUACGGGAGGCAGCAGUGGGGAAUAUUGCACAAUGGGCGAAAGCCUGAUGCGGCAACGCCGCGUGAGGGAUGACGGCCUUCGGGUUGUAAACCUCUUUUAGUAGGGAAGAAGCGAAAGUGACGGUACCUGCAGAAAAAGCACCGGCUAACUACGUGCCAGCAGCCGCGGUAGU
rnacentral:rRNA from 1 species